AGAGUUUGAUCAUGGCUCAGAACGAACGCUGGCGGCAUGCCUAACACAUGCAAGUCGAACGAUCCCUUCGGGGAUAGUGGCGCACGGGUGCGUAACGCGUGGGAACCUGCCCUUAGGUUCGGAAUAACUCAGAGAAAUUUGAGCUAAUACCGGAUAAUGUCUUCGGACCAAAGAUUUAUCGCCUUUGGAUGGGCCCGCGUUGGAUUAGCUUGUUGGUGGGGUAAAGGCCUACCAAGGCGACGAUCCAUAGCUGGUCUUAGAGGAUGAUCAGCCACACUGGGACUGAGACACGGCCCAGACUCCUACGGGAGGCAGCAGUGGGGAAUAUUGGACAAUGGGCGAAAGCCUGAUCCAGCAAUGCCGCGUGAGUGAUGAAGGCCCUAGGGUUGUAAAGCUCUUUUACCAGGGAUGAUAAUGACAGUACCUGGAGAAUAAGCUCCGGCUAACUCCGUGCCAGCAGCCGCGGUA
rnacentral:rRNA from 1 species